rnacentral:rRNA from 1 species
AUUGAACGCUGGCGGCAGGCCUAACACAUGCAAGUCGAGCGGAUGAAGGGAGCUUGCGCCUGGAUUCAGCGGCGGACGGGUGAGUAAUGCCUAGGAAGCUGCCUGGUAGUGGGGGAUAACGUCCGGAAACGGGCGCUAAUACCGCAUACGUCCUGAGGUAGAAAGGGGGGGAUCUUCGGACCUCGCGCGAUCAGAUGAGCCUAGGUCGGAUUAGCUAGUUGGUUGGGUAAAGGCCUACCAAGGCGACGAUCCGUAACUGGUCUGAGAGGAUGAUCAGUCACACUGGAACUGAGACACGGUCCAGACUCCUACGGGAGGCAGCAGUGGGGAAUAUUGGACAAUGGGCGAAAGCCUGAUCCAGCCAUGCCGCGUGUGUGAAGAAGGUCUUCGGAUUGUAAAGCACUUUAAGUUGGGAGGAAGAACAGUAAGUUAAUCCCUUGCUGUUUUGACGUUACCAACAGAAUAAGCACCGGCUAACUUCGUG